AGGUUUUAUAAUGCAGCCAAGGAUGACUUGCCUAUCGCAUAUACUUUUGCAUCUUAUUUUCUUACUUUCUUAAAAACUUAUGCAUUCCUAUAUACUUUGGGAGUUAUUUUCCAAUAUAUUAAGUUUAUUAACAAGACAAAAUGUUAUUUGGAACUCGAGAGGAAUGAUUUGAUAUUUUGAUGGGCAAGUCGUCUCUGGCUAUAUAAUUACCUCA
rnacentral:pre_miRNA from 1 species